GACGGAAUAUUUCCGUCAUGUGUCCUUUAGUUGUUAACAAUGCUUACUCGUAACUGUUAGCAUAUGGAAAAUAUUCAGCAUAUUGUUAUUUGUUGGUUUGAAUUUUGACUUGUUCCAAUAUGACUGCUGGCGAGAUCUAUUAAUGACAGUUAUAUCUUACAAUGGCUAACUAAAAGAAUAGGAGAAAAGCUGGAGUGAAAUUGUUGUCUGUGUCUCCUCCUCAUUUGCAGUCCUUGCCCUGAC